UACGUAGGUGACCAGCGUUGUCCGGAUUUACUGGGCGUAAAGAGCGCGCAGGCGGUCGUUCAAGUCGAGUGUGAAAGCCCCCGGCUCAACUGGGGAGGGUCACUCGAUACUGAUCGACUGGAAGGCAGGAGAGGGAAGCGGAAUUCCCGGUGUAGUGGUGAAAUGCGUAGAUAUCGGGAGGAACACCAGUGGCGAAGGCGGCUUCCUGGCCUGUUCUUGACGCUGAGGCGCGAAAGCUAGGGUAGCAAACGGG
rnacentral:rRNA from 1 species